UCCACGCUGUAAACGAUGAGUACUAGCUGUUGGAUCUGGUGUAAAAGAUUUAGUGGCGCAGCUAACGCGUUAAGUACUCCGCCUGGGGACUACGGCCGCAAGGCUAAAACUCAAAGGAAUUGACGGGGACCCGCACAAGCGGUGGAGCAUGUGGUUUAAUUCGAUGCAACGCGAAGAACCUUACCUACCCUUGACAUCCACAGAACUUUCCAGAGAUGGAUCGGUGCCUUCGG
rnacentral:rRNA from 1 species